GAUGAACGCUGGCGGCGUGCCUAAUACAUGCAAGUCGAGCGAACAGACGAGGAGCUUGCUCCUCUGACGUUAGCGGCGGACGGGUGAGUAACACGUGGAUAACCUACCUAUAAGACUGGGAUAACUUCGGGAAACCGGAGCUAAUACCGGAUAAUAUAUUGAACCGCAUGGUUCAAUAGUGAAAGACGGUUUUGCUGUCACUUAUAGAUGGAUCCGCGCCGCAUUAGCUAGUUGGUAAGGUAACGGCUUACCAAGGCAACGAUGCGUAGCCGACCUGAGAGGGUGAGCGGCCACACCGGAACUGAGACACGGUCCAGACGCCUACGGGAGGGAGCAGUAGGGAAUCUUCCGCAAUGGGCGAAAGCCUUACGGAGCAACGCCGCGGGAGGGAUUAAGGUCUUCGGAUCGUAAAACUCUGUUAUUAGGGAAGAACAAAUGUGUAAGUAACUAUGCACGUCUUGACGGUACCUAAUCAGAAAGCCACGGCUAACUACGUG
rnacentral:rRNA from 1 species